rnacentral:rRNA from 1 species
ACGAUGCAUAGCCGACCUGAGAGGGUGAUCGGCCACAUUGGGACUGAGACACGGCCCAAACUCCUACGGGAGGCAGCAGUAGGGAAUCUUCGGCAAUGGACGAAAGUCUGACCGAGCAACGCCGCGUGAGUGAAGAAGGUUUUCGGAUCGUAAAACUCUGUUGUUAGAGAAGAACAAGGAUGAGAGUAACUGUUCAUCCCUUGACGGUAUCUAACCAGAAAGCCACGGCUAACUACGUGCCAGCAGCCGCGGUAAUACGUAGGUGGCAAGCGUUGUCCGGAUUUAUUGGGCGUAAAGCGAGCGCAGGCGGUUUCUUAAGUCUGAUGUGAAAGCCCCCGGCUCAACCGGGGAGGGUCAUUGGAAACUGGGAGACUUGAGUGCAGAAGAGGAGAGUGGAAUUCCAUGUGUAGCGGUGAAAUGCGUAGAUAUAUGGAGGAACACCAGUGGCGAAGGCGGCUCUCUGGUCUGUAACUGACGCUGAGGCUCGAAAGCGUGGGGAGCAAACAGGAUUAGAUACCCUGGUAGUCCACGCCGUAAACGAUGAGUGCUAAGUGUUGGAGGGUUUCCGCCCUUCAGUGCUGCAGCUAACGCAUUAAGCACUCCGCCUGGGGAGUACGACCGCAAGGUUGAAACUCAAAGGAAUUGACGGGGGCCCGCACAAGCGGUGGAGCAUGUGGUUUAAUUCGAAGCAACGCGAAGAACCUUACCAGGUCUUGACAUCCUUUGACCACUCUAGAGAUAGAGCUUCCCCUUCGGGGGCAAAGUGACAGGUGGUGCAUGGUUGUCGUCAGCUCGUGUCGUGAGAUGUUGGGUUAAGUCCCGCAACGAGCGCAACCCUUAUUGUUAGUUGCCAUCAUUUAGUUGGGCACUCUAGCAAGACUGCCGGUGACAAACCGGAGGAAGGUGGGGAUGACGUCAAAUCAUCAUGCCCCUUAUGACCUGGGCUACACACGUGCUACAAUGGGAAGUACAACGAGUCGCGAAGUCGCGAGGCUAAGCUAAUCUCUUAAAGCUUCUCUCAGUUCGGAUUGUAGGCUGCAACUCGCCUACAUGAAGCCGGAAUCGCUAGUAAUCGCGGAUCAGCACGCCGCGGUGAAUACGUUCCCGGGCCUUGUACACACCGCCCGUCACACCACGAGAGUUUGUAACACCCGAAGUCGGUGAGGUAACCUUUUGGAGCCAGCCGCCUAAGGUGGGAUAGAUGAUUGGGGUGAAGUCGUAACAAGGUAGCCGUAUCGGAAGGUGCGGCUGGAUCACCU